AUUCUGACUUCCCUUCAGUUUGCAUAAACAUUUUUGCCUUUUACAAAAAUCACCCUGGGG
rnacentral:snRNA from 1 species